CACGUAGGGGGCGAGCGUUGUCCGGAUUCAUUGGGCGUAAAGAGCUCGUAGGCGGCUCAGUAAGUCGGGUGUGAAACCCUCAGGCUCAACCUGGGGACGCCACUCGAUACUGCUGUGGCUAGAGUCCAGUAGGGGAGUGUGGAAUUCCCGGUGUAGCGGUGAAAUGCGCAGAUAUCAGGAGGAACACCGGUGGCGAAGGCGGGUCUCUGGGCCGAUACUGACGCUGAGGAGCGAAAGCGUGGGGAGCGAACAGG
rnacentral:rRNA from 1 species